rnacentral:rRNA from 1 species
AUGACAAUAGUAGUGUCGCUAUUCUUCAUGCUCGGCGGCCUGCACGGCGCGGAGGCGGGGACGGCGGACAACGACUGCGCCGUCGCCCAGACGGCGUUCGGCGACUGCACCGGCUACGUCGCCGGCGUGGAGGACAAGCUCUCGCCGCGCUGCUGCAGGGGGCUCGCCGACAUCAAGGACAUGGCGCCGACCUUUGACCGGCGGCGCGCCCUCUGCGCGUGCAUCCACAAGGAGAUGGUCGCCGCCGGCAAGGUGCUCACCCGCCGCGCCGCCACGCUCCCCGCCAGGUGCAGCGUCCGCAUCUCCUUCCUCCCGACCGCCCACGACUUCGACUGCUAUCGGUACGUACCUCGAGAAAACAUGCGUGCUCCAAACUUUGUUCGUGCCAGAUGCUUCAAUAGCCUUGUUCGUAAUUUGUUUUCCAAAAGGUGA